UACGUAGGGUGCAAGCGUUGUCCGGAAUUAUUGGGCGAAAGAGCUCGUAGGCGGCCUGUCGCGUCGGCUGUGAAAACCCGGGGGCUCAACCCCGGGCCUGCAGUCGAUACGGGCAGGCUAGAGUCCGGCAGGGGAGACUGGAAUUCCUGGUGUAGCGGUGAAAUGCGCAGAGUAUCAGGAGGAACACCGGUGGCGAAAGGCGGCCUUCUGGACAGUGACUGACGCUGAGACGCGAAAGCGUGGGGAGCAA
rnacentral:rRNA from 1 species